rnacentral:rRNA from 1 species
CAGCCGCCGCGGUAACCCCAGCGCCACAAGUGGGAACCACGCUUAUUGGGUCUAAAGCAUCCGUAGCCGGUUCUGCAAAUGCCCUGUGAAAUCGUUGCGCUUAACGUAACGGCGUGCAGGGUAGACUACAGAACUAGGGACCAGAGGAAGUAGACGGUAUUCCUGAGGGAGCGGUAAAAUGUGAUAAUCUCAGGAGGACCACCGAUGGCGAAGGCAGUCUUCUAAUAUGGAUCUGACGGUGAGGGAUGAAAGCUAGGGGAGCGAUCCGGAUUAGAUACCCGAGUAGUCCUAGCCGUAAACGCUGCGUGCCAGAUGUUGCACAAUCCUCGCGAUUGUGCAGUGUCGUAACGAAGGUGUUAAGCACGCCACCUGGGAAGUACGGUCGCAAGGCUGAAACUUAAAGGAAUUGGCGGGGGAGCACC